GACCACGUAGCUCAGUUGGCAGAGCAUUGGGCUAGUACUCCAAAGCUCGUAGGUUCGAUUCCCACCGUGGACA
rnacentral:tRNA from 1 species